rnacentral:rRNA from 1 species
GAUGAACGCUGGCGGCGUGCUUAACACAUGCAAGUCGAACGGGAUCCCAGGGGUGCUUGCACUUUUUGGUGAGAGUGGCGAACGGGUGAGUAACACGUGAGUAACCUGUCCUUUUCUUUGGGAUAAGCAUUCGAAAGGGUGUUUAAUACCUUAUGUUCUGUCUGCCUCGCAUGGGGUGGGUGGGAAAGGCUUUGGCCGGAGUUGGGUGGGCUCGCGGUCUAUCAGCUUGUUGGUGGGGUGAUGGCUUACCAAGGCUUUGACGGGUAGCCGGCCUGAGAGGGUGGGAGGUGACGUUGGGACUGAGAGGGGGCGCGGACUGGUGCGGGAGGCAGCGGGGGGGGGUAGUGCGGAAUGGGGGAAAGCGGGAGGCAGCGAGGUGGAGUGGGGGAGGGAGGGGGGCGGGGUGUAAAGGGCUGUUGAGCGGAACAGGGCGUGCCGGUGGGUGUGUGGAGGGUAGGGGUUGAGGAGCGCCGGCUAACUACGUG